rnacentral:rRNA from 1 species
UACGGAGGAUGCAAGCGUUAUCCGGAAUGAUUGGGCGUAAAGCGUCCGCAGGUGGCUGUGUAAGUCUGCUGUCAAAGAGCAAAGCUCAACUUUGUAAAGGCAGUGGAAACUACAUAGCUAGAGUACGGUCGGGGUAGAAGGAAUUCCUGGUGUAGCGGUGUAAUGCGUAGAGAUCAGGAAGAACACCGGUGGCGAAAGCGCUCUGCUGGACUGCAACUGACACUCAGGGACGAAAGCUAGGGGAGCGAAUGGG